GCAUGAGCUGGCAUUCCUAAUAUGCAACAGAAUGACGCUCCUCAAAGAGCCAGAGCACAGGCCAUUAUUUCCUGGAUUGUAUCAUGAACAAACUUCACCCUAGUUGAAGGGAUUAGCAGUAGCAGGUAGAGGAACUUCAGCCUAGGGGUUUAUUGUGAAGCUCAGACUCAAUAUUUUAGUUUGCAAGAUGGGCUCCUUGCCAUGUGACAUUAAGACUGGCAGAGAGAACAACAGAUACAACAGAGAGGAAAAAUCCACAGAUACUGAUGGAACCACAUGAUUCUGUCAUGGAGAUGCUCACAGUAUGGACCUUUCCUAUGAAAGCAUCAACUGGAAGCAAGACGUCGAUGGAAACCACAUGACUUACAUUGCUACCACAGCAGCCUGAGUCCAUCUUUGUAACAGACAUGGCAACACAUCUACUAUCAGAAACUGGGCACAGAGUAAAGGACUCUUGGUUUUAAAUGUAUAGGCUACCACUGCCAGACUUAUGAUUCCUGCCAAAGUUGACCUGAGUGUCCUGCAGUAAGGGAGGCUUCAUUGCACAGUGUCUUCUCCUUGCCUGCUUCUGGAAGAUUGACCUUCGAUCAUGUCUCAGAACUAUCAAUAUAGUGUGUCACUGCUGUUGACAGCUUUUCUGAUUAGUGUUGCUAUUCUAGUUUGAUUAGUCAACCUGAUAGAGAACCCUUAUAAGAAUGAUUCUUUCUAGGUAUUAUUUUGGAUACAUUUUAUCAGUAAUAAAUUCCCUUCUGGCCCAGGUACACUAAGGGUAAAAGAACUCCUUGAUAUUGAUCUAUGUUACCAGUUAUACUAUUUAUCAGACUACAGAAGGAAAGAUAUGAACAAGGACUAUCUUAUAACCGAGAAACAUGUCAAAUGUUUUACUCUACUUAUAUUAAAUAAAAAACUCCAUCAACUUUU